rnacentral:rRNA from 1 species
CCUACGGGUGGCAGCAGUGGGGAAUAUUGCACAAUGGGGGGAACCCUGAUCCAGCGACGCCGCGUGGGUGAGGAAGUACUUCGGUAUGUAAAGCUCUAUCAGCAGGGAAGAAAAUGACGGUACCUGACUAAGAAGCCCCGGCUAAUGACAGGCCAGCAGCCGCGGUAAUACGGAGGGGGCAACCGUUAUCCGGAUUUACUGGGGUUAAUGGGAGCGUAGUCGGCGUGUCAAGUCUGAUGUGAAAGGACGGGGCUCAACCCCGGGACUGCAUUGGAAACUGGCAUGCUGGAGUGCAGGAGGGGCAAGCGGAAUGCCUGGUGUAGCGGUGAAAUGCGUAGAUAUUAGGAGGAACACCGGUGGCGAAGGCGGCUUGCUGGACGGUAACUGACGUUGAGGCUCGAAAGCGUGGGGAGCAAACAGGAUUAGAUACCCGAGUAGUC